GGCUCAGGACGAACGCUGGCGGCGCGCCUAAAACAUGCAAGUCGAACGAGAAGCCCGGGCUUGCCCGGGUGGACAGUGGCGAACGGGUGAGUAACACGUGAGGAACCUGCCCCGAAGACCGGGACAACACCGGGAAACCGGUGCUAAUACCGGAUACCUUCACCGGAUCGCAUGGUCUGGUGAAGAAAUGGAUUCCGCUUCGGGAUGGCCUCGCGGCCUAUCAGCUUGUUGGUGAGGUAACGGCUCACCAAGGCAACGACGGGUAGCUGGUCUGAGAGGAUGUCCAGCCACACUGGGACUGAGACACGGCCCAGACUCCUACGGGAGGCAGCAGUUAGGAAUCUUGCGCAAUGGACGAAAGUCUGACGCAGCGACGCCGCGUGCGGGAUGACGGCCCUCGGGUUGUAAACCGCUUUCAGCAGGGACGAAAUUGACGGUACCUGCAGAAGAAGCCCCGGCCAACUACGUGCCAGCAGCCGCGGUAAUACGUAGGGGGCAAGCGUUGUCCGGAUUUAUUGGGCGUAAAGAGCUCGUAGGUGGUUCGGUAAGUCGGAUGUGAAAUCUCCAGGCUCAACCUGGAGGGGUCAUUCGAUACUGCCGUGACUAGAGUUCGGUAGGGGAGUGUGGAAUUCCUGGUGGAGCGGUGAAAUGCGCAGAUAUCAGGAGGAACACCCGUAGCGAAGGCGGCACUCUGGGCCGAUACUGACACUGAGGAGCGAAAGCGUGGGGAGCGAACAGGAUUAGAUACCCUGGUAGUCCACGCCGUAAACGUUGGGCACUAGGUGUGGGACUCUAUCGACGGGUUCCGUGCCGUAGCUAACGCAUUAAGUGCCCCGCCUGGGGAGUACGGCCCGCAGGCUAAAACUC
rnacentral:rRNA from 1 species